ACUACAACUACCAAGAUGCGCUGCAGUGAACGCGGGUGUGUAAACACAACUCUAGGAAACAUGAAACGAUCGGGUGGCAGUGAGAGCGAGAAGAGAAGAAAGAGGCGCAGGCUGCUGCAGGAGCUAGGAGACCAGCGCAUCCCCUACCUCGGGCCCUCAGACCAUGGCUUCCAACAGCUGUGGGAGACUAGCUACUCUGGCCUGGCUCUGCGGCGGUCCUGCUCCCUGCCUGAGGAGCUCCAUGGUCGGGUGGAGGCUGCUCUGUUCACCCUGCGGCGGAGGGGCUGUUUCCUGAGGGACCUGGUGAAGGUGAGGGACCGAGACGUCUUCACCGCCGUGUCCCGGGUGCUGCUGGGUCAGCCAGGAACCACCUACCGCUAUCUGGACACGCGGCUCUUCACCAUCCCCUGGCACACAGACGAGCAGAGAGGAACCUGCUGCGACCCAGACCUCAGCGCCGCCUGCAAAGCACUCUGGGAGCUCAACUGCUUCUUUUGCUCUGAUGUCGGAGACAGGAAGGAGGGGGAUGUUUUCAAGCAGUGCAGGAAAGAGUUGGUUGGUGCUAUAGAGUCUAAACCCAGUGUAGAAGGAGACACGGAGUCUAAAGAUAGUGAGGAGUCCAAACCCAGUGAUGAUGGAGGAGACUCUGAGUCCAAGCAGAGUGAGGAGGGAGAGACUGAGUCAAAGACUGAGUCAAAGCACAGCGACGAUUGGGACAUAGAGUCAAAACACAGUGAAGAGGAAGGCUCAUCGUCCAAACAGGAUGCAGCGUGGGAGUCAAGACACGGCGACGAGAUGGGAGAUAAGAAGACUAAACAAACUGAAUUGGGGAGUCCAACGGCGUCAAAACAACACAGUGAGGGAAAACACACGGGCUGGAAGCACAGGCCAGCUGGCAGCACAGAGACAGAGACCACAGUCCUAGGCCCUCAGGAGAAGCCUGUGGCUGAGCUAAAACACAGUCUCUCUGGGUACCACAUUGAAGAUGAGGAGGAUGAAGACCAGCAGAGUGGCCAGGGAUGCUCUAACCUCAACCCUGCUAAGACAUCCUGUCCUGGCCCGACCCAGUUCAACGUCACCCUGCUCAACUACAUGGACCCAGCAGCUAUGAGCCAGCUGAAAGAAGAGCCGUAUUAUGGGAUGGGUAAGAUGGCUGUGGGCUGGCACCAUGAUGAGAACCUGGUCAGCUUAUCUCCUGUGGCCGUCUACAGCUACAGCUGUCAUGACGAUGACAAAGCAGGUGUGAGCUCGGAGGAGGGUCCUGCAGAGAAGGGCUGCUGGAGGAUUGGUCUAAAGGUGGCCUGGGACAUCCACACCCCUGGACUGACCCUCCCACUGCAGUCCGGAGACUCCUACUACCUUAGAGAUGACCUGAACAGGACCCAUCAGCACUGUGUUCUGGCUGGAGACUCAGCCCGCUUCAGCUCUACACACAGAGUGGCGGAGUGUUCCACCGGGACCCUGGACUACAUCCAGUCCCGCUGCCGGGAGGCCCUGUCUAACCUGAGCACAGACCCAGAAACAGGGACCCACAGCCUGCUGUCUCUGCUGCCAGCUACCCUGCAAGGCUACGAGGAUAUACACAAUGAGGUGGAGUUUGAGUGGCUGAGGCAGUACUGGUUCCAGGGCCAGCGUUACACCCGGUUCUGCAGCUGGUGGGCCAGACCCAUGGAGCAGCUGGAGAAUGACUGGAGAGAGAUGGAGCUCAUGUGUGGAGCGCUGAGCAGUAAUCACAUCUAAUACUCAAGCGGGGAUAAAGAGAGGAGCCUGGAGAAGCACGGUGCUGCUCUGCACUGAGACACAGGAAGGCAGUCAGACAGACAGGCAGGCUGGCCGGCAGGCAGGCUGGCUGGCUCACUCGCGUCCACACAGCCAGGAGGAGGACGCAACUCUUACUGGCCGCGGUAGAGGAAGAGGGACAACCGGAGGAGGGCAGGAGAGAGAUGGCAGAGACCCUGCUAACUGCCCUGACAGACAGACAGCAGCACAGACAGACCUGGAGAGACAGGUGCCAUUCCAGCCUGGCCCAGACCCUGCCCCCAGAAGAGGCCCCCGUGGACCGGCCGUUUUGGGCUGACGACGACCCCAGCAUGCCUCUGCCCUUUGACCUGGCUGACAUCAUCAACAGGGUGGAGUCACUCCUCUGGAGGAUGUGAUGGAUGGGACACAAAGAAAAGAGAAGGAGAAAGAGAGCGAGAGAGUCACCCCGUCAUCUGAACAGCCUCUAUCGUGAGGACAGACGACAGAGGAGGAGAACAGGACCUACCAACUCCUGAUGGUGUCAACGUCCUCCAAUGGGGGUAGACUUCCCCACCCCAGCCCACCCUGGACCCCUCCCAACCCUGUACCUCGCCCCACCCCGCCCAAACCAGUCUCAUCUAUCUUUGCUUGGAUUGACUCAACAUGGCUGCAACAUGAGGAUGGAACCCUGAGUAGUGCUUUGCUAACAUGCUAUAGCUGGUAUUGGAACUUGUCUCACAAUGGUAACGUGGAUAACCUGCAGAAUUAAAACUGAAUGUGUAGGAAUGUAUUAUUUCAAUCAAUGUUCUGUUUCUUUUCUACAUUUAACCAGCUUUGUGUAUGGAUAUGACAAAUAGUCAUACAGAUGUAGGAUCAUAAUUUGACCAGUUUCUCACAGCAGCAACAGGAAAUUACAACAGAUUAUAAUUAAUGGCCAUUUUUGUAGGGGUUGAAAUUUCCUGCAACAACAGGGUGAUCAAAUUAAAAUCCUAUAUCUGUAGUAGAUUUAUACUUUCUGUUUCUAACUCAAUGUUGUUCUAAUUAUACUGUUGUAUCCUAAUGUCCAUUCACUUCCUGUAUUUCACAACUUUCUUGUUCAGAAUCUCCCAGGGCAUGACUGUGUUACUAAGAUGUGUGUGUGUGUGUGUGUGUGUGUGUGUGUGUGUGUGUGUGUGUGUGUGUGUGUGUGUGUGUGUGUGUGUGUGUGUGUGUGUGUGUGUGUGUGUGUGUGUGUGUGUGUGUGUGUGUGUGUGUGUGUGUGUGUGUGGUUGAAUGUAUGCCACGGCAGUAUUUACAGUAUGUGAUAUUGUAUAUGUGUGAAGCAGUAUGAUAGGGAUAGGGCCUGUAGCAGGGCUGGGAGAUGUUUGUGUUAGAGAGGAAAGGACAUGAGAGUCCAGUAGGCAGGUCUCUGUCUGCAGGCAUGUCUCUAGUCUGCUCUGUAGCGCUGAAAGGCAGCCCAGGCAGACAGCUACUGUAGGGCUGAAAGGCAGCCCAGGCAGACAGCUACUGUAGGGCUGAAAGGCAGCCCAGGCAGACAGCUACUGUAGGGCUGAAAGGCAGCCCAGGCAGACAGCUACUGUAGCGCUGAAAGGCAGCCCAGGCAGACAGCUACUGUAGCGCUGAAAGGCAGCCCAGGCAGACAGCUACUGUAGGGCUGAAAGGCAGCCCAGGCAGACAGCUACUGUAGGGCUGAAAGGCAUCCCAGGCAGACAGCUACUGUAGGGCUGAAAGGCAGCCCAGGCAGACAGCUAAUGUAGGGCUGAAAGGCAGCCCAGGCAGACAGCUAAUGUAGGGCUGAAAGGCAGCCCAGGCAGACAGCUACUGUAGGGCUGAAAGGCAGCCCAGGCAGACAGCUACUGUAGGACUGAAAGGCAGCCCAGGCAGACAGCUACUGUAGGACUGAAAGGCAGCCCAGGCAGACAGCUACUGUAGGGCUGAAAGGCAGCCCAGGCAGACAGCUACUGUAGGGCUGAAAGGCAGCCCAGGCAGACAGCUACUGUAGGACUGAAAGGCAGCCCAGGCAGACAGCUACUGUAGGGCUGAAAGGCAGCCCAGGCAGACAGCUACUGUAGGGCUGAAAGGCAGCCCAGGCAGACAGCUACUGUAGGGCUGAAAGGCAGCCCAGGCAGACAGCUACUGUAGGGCUGAAAGGCAGCCCAGGCAGACAGCUACUGUAGGGCUGAAAGGCAGCCCAGGCAGACAGCUACUGUAGGGCUGAAAGGCAGCACAGGCAGACAGCUAAUGUAGGGCUGAAAGGCAGCCCAGGCAGACAGCUAAUGUAGGGCUGAAAGGCAGCCCAGGCAGACAGCUACUGCAGGGCUGAAAGGCAGCCCAGGCAGACAGCUACUGCAGGGCUGAAAGGCAGCCCAGGCAGACAGCUACUGCAGUAGGGCUGAAAGGCAGCCCAGGCAGGCAGUUUGUGUAGGGCUGAAAAGCAGCCCAGGCAGGCAGUUUGUGUAGGGCUGAAAAGCAGCCCAGGCAGGCAGUUUGUGUAGGGCUGAAAGGCAGCCCAGGCAGACAGUUUGUGUAGGGCUGAAAGGCAGCCCAGGCAGGCAGUUUGUGUAGGGCUGAAAGGCAGCCCAGGCAGGCAGUUUGUGUAGGGCUGAAAGGCAGCCCAGGCAGGCAGUUUGUGAAGGGCUGAAAGGCAGCCCAGGCAGGCAGUUUGUGUAGGGCUGAAAGGCAGCCCAGGCAGACAGCUAUUAUAAUGUGUGGCUGAUAGAAGGAUCCCCGUCCUAACUGCCACUCUCUCUUCAUAAUUGCAGCUGUUCAAUGGCUUUUAAUUAGUCUUAAAGCGUGUUGAGCACCACUUUCCCUGUAUCGCUGCAGGCCAGAAACUCAGAUCCACGGCUUCUGACAAAACCAACCAGGAAAGAGAAGCUAUGGGUGAAAUGUGAUGGUUGUCAAAGCCAAGCAGAGCAGCCUUCUUUUUUCUUUUUUGGUAACACUUUAUUUCAGGGAUCAUCAACUAGAUUCAGCCACGGGACGAAUUACAAAUGAUUUGUAGACUGCAAAUUUACCCCAAGAAGCCCAACCAGAUAUAAUAUUUGACUAUAACGUAAUCAUUUCAAACCUUGCUUAUAUUUGUACACGAUUAAUUGUCUCUCUAUUAUGCGUGGGAAUACUUGGGAAUUAUAGAAAAGUAAUUCUUAUUUUAUUUAUUUUUUGCUUAGAAAACCUGGGUGUGAAAUAAAACCAACAACGGCUACCAGUUGUGCAGCUGCUUUCUUUGACCUGGCCACCAUAAUGCCUUUAUAACAAUGCUGUAAACAUGUCAUAACGCUUCAUAGCUUGUGUCAUUGUGAUAACUGAAGCUUAAUGGCAUGUGUUGACAAGUUAUGACUCGUGGUAUGAAGCUUUAUAGCAUGGUCAGGACAUUUUUAUGAAGGUUAUGAAGAGAUCAUGGUGUUUAGUUCAAAUGAAGUGUUACCAAUUUCUUUAUAUAUCUAUCUAUAUCAACAGGAAGUAGAACUGAUAUAUAGUGCUAAAAAUGUUUUUUUUUACUUCUGGAAGUUUUUCCAAUUUCAAAUGUUAACGAUUGCCAAAAUGUUGUUCUCUUGCUUAAUAUUUUUGUAUCUUGACUGAGGUUGAGAUUGUAGACUGGCUGUAUUGUUGAGUUGAACAACUAUGUGCUCUCUGUUUCACAGCUCAGCUUGUCUGUCUGAAGCUUUAGGAAGGCAGUAAAUAAACCAAGACAGUGUUUUAUGACCCUC